rnacentral:rRNA from 1 species
AACGAACGCUGGCGGCAUGCCUAACACAUGCAAGUCGAACGAGACCUUCGGGUCUAGUGGCGCACGGGUGCGUAACGCGUGGGAAUCUACCCUUGGGUUCGGAAUAACAGUUAGAAAUGACUGCUAAUACCGGAUGAUGACGUAAGUCCAAAGAUUUAUCGCCCAAGGAUGAGCCCGCGUAAGAUUAGCUCGUUGGUGGGGUAAUGGCCUACCAAGGCGACGAUCUUUAGCUGGUCUGAGAGGAUGAUCAGCCACACUGGGACUGAGACACGGCCCAGACUCCUACGGGAGGCAGCAGUGGGGAAUAUUGGACAAUGGGCGAAGGCCUGAUCCAGCAAUGCCGCGUGAGUGAUGAAGGCCUUAGGGUUGUAAAGCUCUUUUACCAGGGAUGAUAAUGACAGUACCUGGAGAAUAAGCUCCGGCUAACUCCGUGCCAGCAGCCGCAGUAA